GACGAACGCUGGCGGCGUGCUUAGCACAUGCAAGUCGAACGGAAAGGCCCUGCUUUUGUGGGGUGCUCGAGUGGCGAACGGGUGAGUAACACGUGAGUAACCUGCCCUUGACUUUGGGAUAACUUCAGGAAACUGGGGCUAAUACCGGAUAGGAGCUCCUGCUGCAUGGUGGGGGGUGGAAAGUUUCGGCGGUUGGGGAUGGACUCGCGGCUUAUCAGCUUGUUGGUGGGGUAGUGGCUUACCAAGGCUUUUACGGGUAGCCGGCCUGAGAGGGUGACCGGCCACAUUGGGACUGAGAUACGGCCCAGACUCCUACGGGAGGCAGCAGUGGGGAAUAUUGCACAAUGGGCGGAAGCCUGAUGCAGCAACGCCGCGUGCGGGAUGACGGCCUUCGGGUUGUAAACCGCUUUCGCCUGUGACGAAGCGUGAGUGACGGUAAUGGGUAAAGAAGCACCGGCUAACUACGUG
rnacentral:rRNA from 1 species